rnacentral:tRNA from 1 species
CAAAUUAAAGCUUUUAUAAGUUUUUUAUUUACAUUAAAAAGGAAGUUGUGCAAAUCAAUUUAAUUUGA